rnacentral:rRNA from 1 species
GGACGAACGCUGGCGGCGUGCUUAACACAUGCAAGUCGAACGGGGCCUUCCUUUCGGGUUGGUUUAGUGGCGAACGGGUGAGUAACACGUGGGUGAUCUGCCCUGUACUUUGGGAUAAGCCUGGGAAACUGGGUCUAAAUCCGGAUAUGACUGUCUCUCGCAUGGGGGGUAGGUUGAAAGUUCUGGCGGUACAGGAUGUGCCCGCGGCCUAUCAGUUUGAUGGUGGGGUAAU